GGGAUUUGACUAUACUAUAGAAGUGCCCCUCUUCCUAUCUCGUUGUUUGCUUCUUCUUUGUCUUUGGAUAUAAAAUAUCUUUUUAGGUAGUGUCAACUUAAAAAAAAUGCACAACUUGAAAGUUGAGAGUUAAGUUUUAUUUGGGGCAAAAUUAGGACUUAAGCCCAGGAGAGAGCAUCUCAAGUAGCCCUGAGAAAGCCACUCAGAGGAGGCAAAAGGGGGAACUAGGCUAUAUAGGAACUUUUUCAACAAAGAGCAGGUAGUGGGAACAAAAGAUUUAUAGAAAACGAGAUACUUCAAGUUAAGGAAUUCAGCAAGUUUCUAUGGGAAGGUGCAAAGGUCUGGGCUUAUUUACCUUUAAUACAUACCUCAGCCAUCAGCGCCAGUAUUCUUUCUUUCUUUCUUGAGCUCCCUCAGCGCUCACUGGCUCAUCCUUGGGAGUGGCUGCACUCACAGAUGACCAUUACAUCUUUUUAUUUAGUGUUUUUCUAGAUAUGAGGAGAUGCAAGAAGUGGGCUAAUAAAAUCAUCUCCUAAAAAUAUCUAAUUAUCUGAAGACCUGUUCUUCCAGUUUUCCUGAAGCACAGACUGCCUCACUCCUGAUCCACUCGGGUGGCACUGCAAGUCGGCAACUGCAGUGGCUCAUGAUUUAAUUCAUGUGGAGGCAGAUGGCAAGUGAUGGCAAGUGCCUAACUCCAGCUCAGAGUAAUUUCCAGUCAUUUCUGUCAAUGGUUGUUUACAAGUUAGUGAUGGUUUGGGUAUUUUUGUGAAAGGAAGGGAGCUCAAGUCCUUCUAUUCCGCCAUCUGGACUGGAAUCAAGGGGGGUUUCUUUUAGUUUGGAUGCUUGCUGCCUCUUUCCUCAGCAUGUGCUAGCCAUCAUCCCUUUGAUAUGGUGUGUGCAGGUAUGGUGGCCCUUGUGCCCUCUUGGGACAGUAAGGGUAGGGCUUGGUAUCUACUUAUGAGUCUCAAAGGGGUGGCCAUGACCUCUGUCUCCACCUCUGGAGCCCACUAUGGUGGCAGCAGUGGCUGGCACUCACCCCUAGAACUCUUGCAGGUGGUGUUCUGUUGCCGGAGAGGGAAAGAAGUUCUUACAGUGGUCCUUCCCCUCUCACUGCAAACCACCCAACGUUGACUUGGCUCUAUGCUGGGCUCAGGCUUCCUCCAUAUACACUCUCAUGUGCCAUAGUCCAGCCGCUUCAGGCUAUCUCUAUGCAGCCAUGCCUGGUCCUUUCCCUAGCUCUGAUCUCUGAAACCUGAGCUUCAGCCCCCAGCCCCCACCCAUACUAGCAAAUAAGUAUCUCAAGCUGGGGAGUACAAGGCAGCAGUGCUGACCCUCAGGGCAGUUCACUCUCUACUUUGCCUUCCACAAACCAGAUGCUGUGCUCUCCUGCUAGGCUCUGAAGCUCCAUCUCCAUCCAGGCUGAUCUCCCCACUGGCUGGUGAGGGACUUCUCCGUGUGCGGGAACCCUUCCUCCUUCUCAUCUCCCUGGGGGCACAGGCCACAUCCCAAUUCCUUUAUCUCUCUUUCUUCCUUUUCUCCUACCCAGUUACAUGGAGGUGUUAUCAGUGUCUGCUUUUAAGAAUAUGUAAGGAGCAGAGACAGGAUCAAGAUGGUAGAGGAGGAAGGCAUGUAGCUCACUUCCUCCCGCAAAAACAUUAACACUCCAACUGCAAGCAGGAUGUUUCACCCAGAACAUCUACUGAAUGCUGGCGGAAGACCUCAGACUGAAAGAAUUUAGAGAAAGAACUUUCUCUGGAAAAGCAGUUAGUAGAUAUACAUGCAAAUAACAUGGGCUAAGUAUGGUAGAAGGCAACUUGGUAGGGCCUAGAGAUCAAGGUCCAUUGUCCAUUGUCUCUGGAAGGCUCAGAGGGUUUUGACCAUUUUGAUGAGUUACUCGGUUCUUCUGGGUCUCUCCCAUGUAUACAUCUUAUUAAACUUUUGUUUGAUUUUCUCCUGUUUAUCUGCUUCAUGCCAAUUUAGGCCAAUCAGAAGAGCUUAGAAGAGCAGAGGAAAUUUUUUCUUCAUGACAACAGAGAAUAGAUGCAUAAAAAUAGAUGAUCUGGCUUUAAGACAUACAAGUGAAUUAGACUGUACAGUCUGAUAGUAACAGGGCUGUGGUUAUCAUUGAUUAUAAAAUAAAAUAAAAUAAAACUCAUGACUUGGAUUUGAGUGCCUUUAUGUAAAUAAUGUUGAAUUUUACUGCCUUUGUUUCCUUCAAUUUGUCAUUCAUCAUGUGUACUAAAUUUUAAAGUUAUUUUUGUAGAAAUCGUUAUUUUAAAGUUUUUUUUCUUGAUUUUUAUUUAGUGCAUUAGUUGUGCUUCUCCUUUUGGUGGAAAGGAUUUAGUUUCUUAAACAAAAUGCUGGUUUGGAAUGCUCUUUUCAAAUCCUAACUAUACAUUCCAAUUUUUAAUGAAUUUACUUCCACACAAAGUCAAGCAAAUUUUUAGGACUUCUUAUUGAUUACGUUGAAUUAUUAUUUGAAAGCUUCAGAGUUUUUUGAAGGAAUAUUUUAAAACGAUUGGCAAUUAGAUGGAAUGCAGUGCAUUUCUAAAAUAGAAGAUCAUAAUUUGAAACACAUAUCAUUUUAGAAAUCAUAAAAUUGUCAUAUUUGACAAGCUUCCUAUUGUAUGCAGUUGUACAUUGUUGCAAUAUUCCAUUACUUCAUUUCAAAUGGUAAAACAACAAAGCCCUAAGAGACAUUUUUUCUAUAUUUCUGCAUCUUUUCAUAUUUGUGAUUGUUAAAAGUUAGCACUUCUUGUGGAGUUUUCUCUCUUUUCCACUAAAAUCUUUUAAGAACCUCUUUUUUUUUAACCUCACAAGGGAUCUGCAAAGUCUAUCUGCUAUGGUCUCCAUGCUUAUCUCCACUCAGCCUUAGGAGGAGAUUCAGAGUCUCACAGUUGGUGGAAAAAAAUGAGGCAAUAUCCAUGGGGAUGAUGCCACCCUCAUUUCAUUUCUUUUUGUAAGUGCUAUCUGUCACACUAAACAGAAGGGACCAAGGCACUUGCCUCCAAAGACAUCUGAAAAUUUAUGACUUGGUGUACCAAUGGAAUAAAAAUCCAGGAACUAAUCUUGCUAACCUUAUGAAAGAAGUUUGAAGUAUUUAUCUGAUGUGGAGCUGGUAGAUAUACAGUCAAACAAGCUGAGAGUCCAAAUUGCAAAAUUCAGGAUCAGCUAGUUGUAGGAAGAUGUGACUGAGUCUUUGCUGCUGAUAUAAGUGCUCAGGGUAAAGCAGAAUCCGUGUUUUUGUUUUCUAUGUGUUUCAUGAGCAGAGCAAUUGGGGCAGCCAGGUCAGCAGAUGAAAUGCCGCAUAUGUAGGGGAAAAAAAACUAUUCUGUCAUUACCAUGUUAUGAUCCAAUCUACCUAAAUUAUGCUCAGAUGCCAUGUUUAAGUUUCAUCCUAGGAAGGUAGCUUUUGUUUUGUUCAAAUUGCAUUUUUUCCCAAAUGAUCUUGUAAAAAUCUUCAGAAGCCUCACUUGUGGUGUGCCCGUCCCAAAGUAGAGAUAUGUUUAUAUUUAAUUACAGGUACAGAACUGAAAGGCCACAUGCAGAGGACACACAAUUCCACGUGGCUGUUUUGUGAGCCACAGCCGUAUUAACCAAACAUGCAUCUGUUGGGGCCCAAGGCAGGGUGCCCCAAAAUAUGCCUUAAUGGUAUGUUGAUUAUUCUGAAUGAAAGGCACUUAAGAAAUGAUCUAUGUAAGAGGGAUACUUUGAUCUUCCUUCCUGUCUCCCUAAAAGCAGAAAAUAAAUCUCAUGUGAAAAGCACACUUUUUACAUUUGGAGGAAGACUCUUAUUAUGAGAGAUAGGGAAUUCAGGGCUGAGAAGCCUGUAUACACAAAUCUUUUUGCUUCUUUAAUUUAUUGCCACAGGCCCAAACUCUGUUUAGACUCUUCACAAAUUUAAGCACUCAAAGCCUAAUUUUUCUUUUGUCUAUUCCUCACAAAUGUAUUGUUUCUUUGUCUAAAAAGUACAAAAGCUACCUGCUUUGUCCACUUUUUAGGUCCUAUUUCUAUGAGACCUCUGUGCCCACAAAUUAAAAAAUUUGUUUCUUUUUCUCUGUUAAUCUGUCCAGUGUCAAUUUUAUUACUUAAGAACCUAGAGGGGAAAUUUCCCCAUCCCUGACACAUACAUAAGCUGCUCUACUUCUAUUUGUCCUAACUUUUUCAACAGCAGAGUGACAAGAAUAAUAGCAUCAAUUUUAUAGAGUUGUUAAAAUAAUUAAAUGGGCAAUCAAUACAAAGAACUUAGCAGUGGACAUACAGCAAAUUGCCAAUAACUAUUAACCAGUAGUUACUAGUUUUGUGUUUACAUAUAUGUAAGACUCUAUUAGUCAUAACAUGGUAAUAAUACACAUCAGACAUUGUAUUAGGUGUAACAUUAAGUAGGAACACUCUUCUUUUGGAAAUUCACAGUGUCAAUCAAAACCACCACACCCCUCCCCAAAAAAGAAAACAAACAAGACUGAAUAAGGGUGGAAAUAAGAAAAUAAUUUAUUUAUGGUCAUAAGAAUUACAAUUUGGGAGACAGAGAUUUGGGUAAAACCUAAACAGUGUUCCAGGGAAGAGAAAGAGUAAGGGGAUUAUAAAUGCAAAAGCCAUGAGGUUUUUCACACUAGAAAAGAAACAUCUGUCCUUAAGGGAUGGCUCUCACUAGUUAGUUAUUGUAGCACUAAAGGUCUGAUAAGGAUCUUGAGUUUCUGGUAGAUAUUAUAGAUGCCUUUAUUACGACAGUAAGUGGUUAUAAGACCAGAUACCAUCCUGGCUGAGAGUCAUGUAUAACUCAGGGAUCUUCAGUGGCCUCCCAGCUCCAUUUUAGAGAGAUCGCUUAAUAAUACUGUCUCCAUUGUAAUUUUCCCUCAACGACAGGCCCCUGGGAGAGUAAGAUGGUAUUUUGUGCAAAAUGCUUAGAGAGAGUUUUGAAAGAACAGGAAUGUACAGCAGUUAAUCCUACCUAAUAGAAGCAAGCAUAAUUUUGGAAAGAAAGUUAUAUUUGCCAUAUAAUUUCAAAGUACAUAAAGCAAAGGGGAAAUUAGGGGCAAAGGCCUGGGAUAGUUAGAGGGUGUACCCUUUUGGGGGUAUAUUGAGUAAUGUAGGGCUCAGAGUUCAAGUAUUAUGGAGUUGAAUCUGAGGAAUCUGAUUGGUUUACAAUUAAGCCAUAAAGAAACAAUGAGCUAUUACACAUUUAUUAAAUAAUAAUGAAAAUGCUUAUUAUUAGAGACAUCACUACUGGUAUUUGUUUGCAUACUUACCAACAUUAUUUCUCAACAACCAAGAAACACAACAUAAAACACAUUAUCUUAAACAAUAUCUUCCUCUUUUUAUAAAGAAAAAGAGGGUGGUUUGUCCAGAAUUUAUCUCAGUUAUUUUAUAUAAGUCUAAAU
rnacentral:lncRNA from 1 species